GACGAACGCUGGCGGCGUGCUUAACACAUGCAAGUCGAGCGGGAAACUUCGGUUUCCAGCGGCGGACGGGUGAGUAACACGUGGGCAACCUGCCUCACAAUGAGGGAUAGCCUUCCGAAAGGGAGCUUAAUACCUCAUAACACAAGAGAAACGCCUGUUUCUUUUGCCAAAGAAUUUCGUUGUGAGAUGGGCCCGCGGCGCAUUAGCUAGUUGGUGAGGUAACGGCUCACCAAGGCUUCGAUGCGUAGCCGACCUGAGAGGGUGAUCGGCCACAUUGGAACUGAGACACGGUCCAGACUCCUACGGGAGGCAGCAGUGGGGAAUAUUGCACAAUGGAGGAAACUCUGAUGCAGCAACGCCGCGUGAGUGAUGAAGGUCUUCGGAUUGUAAAGCUCUGUCUUCUGGGACGAUAAUGACGGUACCAGAGGAGGAAGCCACGGCUAACUACGUGCCAGCCGCCGCGGUAA
rnacentral:rRNA from 1 species